GCAAGUCGAACGGAAACGAUUAAGAGCUUGCUCUUAAGGCGUCGAGUGGCGGACGGGUGAGUAAUGCUUGGGAAUCUGCCCUGUAGUGGGGGACAACCCGGGGAAACCCGGGCUAAUACCGCAUACGCCCCUUGGUUUAGUUACUAAGGGGGAAAGCGGGGGACCUUCGGGCCUCGCGCUAUUGGAUGAGCCCAAGUUGGAUUAGCUUGUUGGUGGGGUAACGGCCUACCAAGGCAACGAUCCGUAGCUGGUCUGAGAGGACGAUC
rnacentral:rRNA from 1 species